GGGGGAGCUAGAGGAGACACGGCCGAUAGGGACGUGUUUUGGAGGCAGAGCUGACAUGACUGAUGGACGUGGAAGUCGAUCUUCGUGGUACAGAUGGAAAAGCUGAAGUCCGCAGCGGCCGAAGGCAGUUUGGCCGGGAGCAGACAUCCUUACAACCACUGCUUCCUGCCUCCUGGGACGGUUUCUUGUCAUAGCCAAGUGGAGGGUUCGCAGCGCCCGUUUCGGACCACGCUGUGCCCACACGUGGAUGCUAUGUGCGUGGCAUGCAGCACGGGAGCCUUGGAGGGUUCGCCCCCGUCCCCCGCCUCCGCUGCUGUCCUCCUGUGUGUCCCCCACGUCGCAGACCCCGCGUUCGUGGCUGGCGUAUUCGAUGAUGUUUUCUAGAAAUGUCAAUAACAACUUCUGAAGGUCCUAUUCCCUCGCACCGUCAGGGACACUGGAGGCCCGUCCCUUCGCGUGGGUGCAGAGGGUCUCGGUCCCCUCGCACCUUCCUCCCUCCUGCCCGAAGCCCUUUGUCAGUGCAGGUUUCCCGGUGUUGUAUGUCCAGUAAAGCUGUGAGUUUGUCCUCGUGUUUGAAAUAUAUUUUUUCCUGGACAGAG